rnacentral:snoRNA from 1 species
UAUGUCCUUGCACCUGUCAUUUGCAUGGUGGCUACUGUGUCAUCUUUGUUCAUUCAGGGCAGAGAGCAAAAGGCUAUGUCUACAUUCAGUGUUCUGAAACCCAUGAACACUCAGAAUGAUUAAUAGCCUGACAUAA